AGAUUCCUUUGAAAUGGUCAUUUGCAAAUAAAGAAUCUAAUUCUAGUAUCCUUUCAGCCAGAUCUGGAAAAAUGAGCAAGUUUCUGAAUCUUUUGUAAGGUGCUGUUGAGUGACCUGACUUAAAGUUUUUUUGUCAUCAUCCUGGUGCUACUGGAGGUAGUCAGUGUUUUUUAGAGAGAGAGACAUGUAGCCUAACCACAUUUUUGCUCUUAAAUCCUCAAGUUUUGCCUUAGUCUGCGAAAAGAAAUCAGGUGUGAGACCUGCUGUUCUGGUUCCUUUGAGGCACAGUACUAUACAGCUUCGAUGUAGGACCCAUUUACUGUUGAUCAGGGACUCGCAAGGACCAGCAUCUAGUAACGGUGUUCUAAAAUAUUCACAGGAACUUGAAGUGUCAGGCUUGUGUUCUGAAAGGUUAUGUUGGCUAUUUACUUCUCUUUGAGAAAGAGCUUGUAAUCCUCUUUGACUUCUCAAUACCUUAAACAUAGCUCUAGUUUACUUUCUUGGCCUGGAAACCUAUUUUGUGAAGACUGCACCACGCAGGUAGGUUCUGAAUACGUCACUGAACAGAAAGGUACUGAAAGGGCAUCGAUAACAUAAAAAGCUAUUAAUAGUGCCUAAAACUUAGUAAACUGCCAAGACAGUUGUCUUGUUACUCCUUGGAUUUGAAGCUGUGCAUGGUUAUUAGAGAAGUCCACGUGCUUUAGACUGUGAGAGGGAAAAGGAUUGUUUGUGGCUGUGGAAUAACAUAACUGAUGGAGAGCGCUAAAGCCCAUCAACGGGAUUUCUGCAAUCAGAAACAAACCAGUCAGUUCUAUGGCAUGGAAAUGUUGCUAAUUGGAAAAAAAAAAAAAGCCAUUUUCAACUUAAAAUAGAUGAUUUUGAAGAGAAGCAUGUGGUUCUGAUCUGUUAUUUUGGUAGGAGUCUGUUUUAUUGCAGAGUUGCAAAUGAUUUCGGGGUUUACAGGCUAGCUACAGUACCUAGGUAGCUAGCACUCUUCAGGCUUAGUUUGUGGUGUGAAGUCAUAAAAAGCACAAAGUAUCUCUAGAAGUAGGUAGCCUGCCCCUGGUCACCACGUAAUUGCAUUUUAUUUAUUUUAAAAAAAUCUCAGAAGCAUUGGUGUAUCUGAGGGAUGACUCUUCUGCCUUGUGAGCUGUACGUCUUGCCUAAAGUUACUCAUUAGUCAAAUCAUCCUUGUUCAUCCUUGGUCAGUGUUGCUUUCUAAUUACAGACUUCAGCCUUGCUGUGUGUUCCAUCCUUCUUUGCAUUGCUAAGAAGUCUAGGGUGGCUGCAGUCCUCGUAGUGUGAGCUCCUCUUCCAGCCCGGUGCUGAUGUACAGAGAAUCAAACAGAGGUGCAGAAUGUUGUCAGUUUUAGUGCUGGUAGUUGACAUGUAAGGAUUAGCCAAGUUUGGCUUUUAAACUAUUUUAUGUUCACAAGAACAGCUUGAGUUAUUAUAGCCACUAACUUCAGAGAUCCAGCCGUGUAAUUAUCUUUUUAGCUGGGAGAAUGCAGCCUGGCUGCUUCUCUUGUGGUCACUUUCAUUUUCUUUUUCUCCAUUUCUUGUUCAUGGGUAGAACAAACUGGAAAGGAAUGUUUCCUUUCCCGUUUCUUAACAGAGGAAAGAUCCAUUUAAAAACUGUGACAAACAUGCUUUUGAUCUGAAGUUUGCAAAAACUGGUUCUUUCAAAAUCUGGACAAAGCCUGCGAUUGGCCUGGUUGGGUAUUUAUGUUUCUAUUUAACACACAUUCAGUUGUUUGAAGGAAAGGGUGAGGGAGGGGACAUGCUACUGCAUUGUGGUGGCUUUCUCUUCUGAUGGUUAUGAAUUACCUGCUGGAGAAGUAUUAUAGUGGGUUCCAAAUUAGGGUAAUGCUGAAGCGUCUUCCAGGACUGAAGGCUGAGGAACUACUAUGAGUAAAACUUUAUUUCUUCUCAGAUCUCUUGGAGCCUUCUUCCUGACAGAGUGGCGGGGGUUUGUUUGUUUGAUUUUUCAAUUUGAUAAAGCAGUAGGUUCUCAGAUUUUGGUUGAUAUUUGUUUUUAUUCAAUUAAGGGCAUCCGCUGAGAAAAGUGUGUUCUGGAAAAAUUGCAUUUAAGUGAUAAACUCCUUCAAAAUGUCCAUCUUCUGCUUACUUCAAUCACAAGUGCUGUGUGUGGUUUGAGAGAAACUCAUUCAGGGUACAGGAGUUCUGUAUGUAUUCACAAUAAAUAUCUUUUAUAUAAAUAUUCUUAAUAUAAUGCCUUAAUAUGUACUGACUAAAUAUUCAAGGAAUAAUUAAAAAAAACUAUCAGAUGUGCUUUCUAUCCUGAAGAAAAGCUGGGGAUUUUCAGUUUCUAGCAGCAGGCUGACAUGCUACAGAGAUCCUUUUGAAUCUUGUGAGUAAAGCCAACUUUGAAAUACCAUUUCAAGGGUGCUAUAAAGAGGAGUAGCUAUAAUAGUGCGGCAGCUCAUGACACUGCUUUCUGUCACAAAGAAGCUCUGCCUGUGCUGAAUCAAAGUAGCUUCCUUAUAACAUGCAGCUUUUUGUAAACGUAUGCUGUUUGGACAGAUCGGGGCGUUCAUCCCUGCUGUGCUGUAAUUUGGUGGCUGGAGCAGUUAGGGCAUGAAAUUCAGCGGUGACUUAUGCAUGUGACUGUGAAGAAGAAAGCCUUGAUACAGCAGACUUGAGCAGAUGCCAUGAGUCUGCCACUCGGAAUUACUGGCUAGGAUAGCUGUAACUUUUUUUUUCACCAGCCUUACAGCAGAGGCAUGCAGCUGCGUAGCAGGAAGUCUGGUACCUAAGCCCAGAAGAAGAGAGGAGGUGGUGACCCUUGGAAUAGGGUCUCAAGAGAGAAAAGCAUAGUUUCAUAGCAGUUCUGAGGACUUUUGUAUUACUGUUUUGAACCAAUUGGUGGAAAAUAAUUAAAACAUUUUCUAAUAAAUGAGACUUUAUGCAUUUAACAAGAUACAUCAGAAAUAUAUUCCCUAGGGACCAGAUUAUCACCCUUAUAGUGGCUGUUAACUCCCAGUUGGUUGCUGGGCCUGAGCUGAUAACUUUUUUUUUUUAGUGUCACCAUUUGUCUUGGUGUCUGUACUCUGAUAAUUAUAACUUAUUUGUAGCAGUGAGGAGGAAACUGGUCUUGUUUGCUAGGUGAAGGUGAUAACCGGAGGUGAUACUAACUUGGCCACGUUACAUGAUGAGUGGUGGUGGGGGGAAACCACACAGAUCAACAACAAUUCAAUGUGCCUUCAAGCUGAGGCUGAAGGAACUGGCACCUCUCUAAGUGGAAACUAAAACUCUGUUGGUAUACCAUCAGUACUUGCAUCUAUAAUUAUCUUUUUUUCUUCUGCUGCUUGUGGGUGAAAUUUAAACUGCUUAACCUAGCUGCUUUUUUUGGAUUAGCUAGGAUAGACACAAGGAGAAGCUAUCUGUUUGUUUUCAUGCUCAAAAUUAGAGGUCUUGUGUUCAGCUUCCAAAAUCCCUGCUUGUCCCUGGUCUGACUGUUUCUGCUGAAAUCUAAAGACUCAACCAACCUUGGAGGCAGGAGAAAUUGGGAAACUGUUCAGAAAAUUCCCCUUGCUUGAUCAUUCAGGGAGUAUUUGUGUGUAAGACAGCUGGAGGCACCUCUUAGUAAAGUGUAGCUUCUUUUCAGGUCUUGCAGAGCUUAUCAUGCAAUCAGAAUGCUAUCUUUGAUUACCCAGGCUGACCCUUGGACUUCAUUUGUAAGGGAUCAAAAAUGCUGAUAAGCACACAUCUAAGUACUGUGAUGUAGUGUUAAGUCUAAAAAUGCUUGUGGUAAAUUGUAAUAAUGUUGUGUUUGCAAAUCUCCCUGUUGGCUCUCUGAUCCUGAGCACAUGACUUAAUGUUUUGAGACUUAUUUCCAAGAAAAGGUUUGUCUGAAAAGUAAUUUGGUAUUAAAUGCUUGUCAGUGGGAAUAAUUGACCUUGCUUUAUGGAAUUGGCAUCUGCAGUGUAGCUUAAAUCCAAGACACUGCUUGCAAUAUAAAUAAACCUUUCCUCUUUAUUUUUAGAUUGGGAGUGGUGCAGUUAUAAUCAGCUUUUAUGUGGUUUGUGUAGAACAAAAUUUAUGUUUGGUUACGUUAAUGAAUCGACAGUUUGAAUAUGGAAUCUAAUUAUUCUGUAGCUCAGGUAAGAUACACAAGCACAAACUAAAAUAUUCAUGUUCUCCUUUAUAAAGAAGUUUUUUUUUUCCUCCUUCUAAAUUUAGUAACUGGCUAAGCAGAGACAGUGACUGGAUAAGUGUUCAUCUAAAAUUAGGUGGUGACACAAAUCAACAGAAACCAGAGCAUGCUUGUGGAGUUAAUGCUGUAGUAGCAGUCACGCUGCUAUGGAGGUGCUAGGAAAUGACUGAAAUAACAGGUAUGUUGUGGGGGAGGUCACACGGAUACGCUUCUGUUGAGCGUCACCUGGAACUGACUCGGUCUGUUCCCUGGUUGUGCUGGCCCUGGCCCUCCUCUGCUGCUGAGCCAGCAGUGCUUCCUGCUACUUGCUGCAUCCCUCUCAGAUCUUCUCCCUGGUUCUGGUGUUGAAUAUGGAUGGCAAGUUGUCAUCUUAUUUCACUGGCAUUCUGCGUGACCAAAGAACACUUCCUGAAUAACUGUGUUUCGGGGGAAGGGAGUUUGAAGUAAAUUCUAUUUGAAGUGUCAGGGACGUCUGCUGACCAGGAGAUCUGGGCCUUUGCAAGCUGAUUAAGAGGGCUGAUGGUAAUGAGUUAGACAGCAGUCAUCUACGCUUGGGUUUGCGGCUGCUCAGGGCUGACCAGAAGUACCCUGACUGAUCCCUCUUCAAUGUUUAAUAUGUUUAUACCUUAAGGUCAAAUCAAAAUUAGGCUGCUUAUUCUCUUAACUAAACUCAUUAGCUUACUUGUCACAAAGGUGGACUUCAGGGCAGGACCUGAAUAUGAAAUUAUUAAAAGAUUGGCCAUUUUGAAUUUACCACCGAUGUCCUUUCUGUUGCUGUAUCUAUAACCAGUCUGGUUGUGUCUGAACAGUUUUGAAUCUCAUUGCGUUUCAGUCCUGUUAGCGUAUUCUUCCCAGGAGAUGGCAAUUCUAGUAGCACAUCUUUUCCCCAGUGAAUGAAGUUGAAGGCAUGAGAGCCUUGUUUACUGAUCCUAUUCUUUAAUUAUAGUCUAAUUUUGAGGAUUCCUUCCAAUGUAACUGUACAGUUAGUGUCCGGAUUUGCCCUAGCAAACAAAUUAUCAUGAAGCUUUCUUAUAUUAGCCUUAAGACAUACUAUGUAAACUCUGCUUGUGCGCAGUAUGCUCGGGUAGGACAGCUAGUGGGACAUCUCUGGAAGCAGGUAUUAAUAGGGAGUUCUUCGCCCUGCUUUCAAAGUCUGUCUAGUGGAGUGUCUCUUCUUUGGGUUAGUAUGCUCUGAACUUGACCUAGCAAGCCGAUUUUGAUGUUUCCUUUCUGGUUAGUAGUACACAGCUGAUUUGGGAUUAGGACUUGAAGGUUGUGUAGCAAGGACAUAUUGAUGGAGGCUACCUUUUCUCUACUAUUAUUCUUUUCUUUUGACACUCUUCCAUUAAGCUACUCCUUUUUGUGAUGAGGACCAAAGCUGCAUAUAGCAGUCAAGAUGAAGCAUUAAUAAUCCAGAGCAUAUGGAAAAAAUAUACUUUGUGAUACACUCUUGUAUGGUGUUUGCCUGUCUUCCAGUUGUGACAGUGAUGACUUCAUAGUUUUUUAACAGUUCCUUCCACUCUUCUUUCUCCUACUAUCUAUCCUCUCUGUUUCUCCCAUUGAUAUUUCAGUUUCCUGGGGAAUGCUUUGUGGUGGGAGAGGAAGGGAAGCAGCCACCACUGCCACAGUCUGAGGGGAAUCCUGGGCUGGAGUUCUUUGUAGCAGAACCCAAGACACAAACGGAAGAGCAGUAUUAAACAAGCCGAGCAGCUCUGGUGUCUGUAGCUUCUCUGAGUACUGCUUGCUAAGGUGAUGUGGGGAAGAUGCAGGGCAAGUGCUGUGAGUCAGUGACUUACGUGCCAAGUCAUGGGUGAGCUCCUGCUUUGCAGCAGGGAUAGUCUGGCUCCUUUUUGUCUGCUGGCAUGUAGUGUAGUUCGUCAGCACUUUCCCUAUCAAGGUAGAAAUGGUUUGCGUGCCAGGUGGGGGGGACACAAAGCUUUUUCUCUGACCCUUGUAAACCCACUGGACAUACUUGUCACCAAGCCAGCAGAAGUGAAAAGCCUACAGCUGUGCACAUUGGUUCUACAAGAACUGCCUGCAGUGUCUGCUGGACAGGUGUGGAGCUGCCAAGCCUGACUACAGAAGAGAGCUCGGGUAAACUACGUCGUGAAGACAACUGGUAGUGAUUUUUCUGAGACAUUGCUCUUGCUCUGCUGUGUCUGUAGUCAAUGGUCAGUGCUAAAACUUGUGGGGGUAUUAGGUAUAAAAGUGGGAUUCUGUGCUUUAAGUCCUAUGUUCUUUCAGUCAGUUCCUCAUUGUGGCAAGAAUCAGCCACUGAAUCCAAUUCAGAACCCUGGGAGAUAAGCUGGAGCAACUUUCUGGCAUGGCAGUCUGGUGGUUUAGGUCUUCUCAGUAGAGAGCAUCCUGUCCUUCGCAGAAGAUGUAAAGAAUAUUUGCAAAGCAAAAGGCUGCAUUGUUACCUUAUGCUUGAUUCCUUACACAUAUCUUUUGCUUUAUGUGGAGAAUAAGGUACUACUGAUACCACAACUACUGUACAAAGUACUCUGAAUGUUAGUGUCAUUAGUACUUGUAGAAUUAGCAAUAAUAUCUAUGGGUGACAAGCCAGAAUCAUUAUCCUCUACAACGUGUCUUGACUCUACCAGUGUGUUGAAUAUGGAGAUUCCACCCUGAAUUUAUGGAUUUGGGCAGCAUCACAGGUAAAAACUUCAGCUGUACUUUAAGCAGAUGUUGAUACCUGGAUUUGGGAAUGGAAGUAUGAGAACAGGAGCUAAAAGAGACUGGAAGGAAAGAUGAAAUUUUUCCCAUGUCUGAGGAGGCUUCCAAGAAGUACUAUGGAGCCUUGAGGGG